rnacentral:rRNA from 1 species
UACGUAGGGGGGCGAGCGUUGUCCGGAUUUAUUGGGCGUAAAGAGCGUGUAGGCGGCCAGGUAGGUCUGCUGUGAAAACUCGAGGCUCAACCUCGAGACGUCGGCGGAAACCAUCUGGCUAGAGUCCGGAAGAGGAGAGUGGAAUUCCUGGUGUAGCGGUGAAAUGCGCAGAUAUCAGGAAGAACACCCCGUGGCGAAGGCGGCUCUCUGGGACGGUACUGACGCUGAGACGCGAAAGCGUGGGGAGCGAACAGG